rnacentral:rRNA from 1 species
AGAUUGAACGCUGGCGGCAGGCCUAACACAUGCAAGUCGAGCGGCAGCACGGGUACUUGUACCUGGUGGCGAGCGGCGGACGGGUGAGUAAUGCCUAGGAAUCUGCCUGGUAGUGGGGGAUAACGCUCGGAAACGGACGCUAAUACCGCAUACGUCCUACGGGAGAAAGCAGGGGACCUUCGGGCCUUGCGCUAUCAGAUGAGCCUAGGUCGGAUUAGCUAGUUGGUGGGGUAAUGGCUCACCAAGGCGACGAUCCGUAACUGGUCUGAGAGGAUGAUCAGUCACACUGGAACUGAGACACGGUCCAGACUCCUACGGGAGGCAGCAGUGGGGAAUAUUGGACAAUGGGCGCAAGCCUGAUCCAGCCAUACCGCGUGGGGUGAAGAAGGCCUUCGGGUUGUAAAGUCCCUUUUAGGUUGGAAAAGAAAAGCAUUACGGUUAAUAACCCGGUGUUCUGACGGUACCAAAGAAUAAGCACCGGCUAACUCGUGCCAGACAGCCGACGGUAA